rnacentral:rRNA from 1 species
GAUAGAAUUUUACAACCACUAUCCGCCCGGGGACUACAAGCAUCAGCUUGAAACCCAAAGGACUUGGCGGUGCUUUAGAUCCACCUAGAGGAGCCUGUUCUAGAACCGAUAACCCCCGUUAAACCUCACCUCUACUUGUUAAUUCCGCCUAUAUACCACCGUCGUCAGCCUACCCUGUGAGGGAACAAUAGUAAGCUAAAAUGGUAUAACCCCAAACGUCAGGUCGAGGUGUAGCGUAUGAAGAGGGAAGAAAUGGGCUACAUUCGCUGUAUCAGCGAACACGAAUGGUCUACUGAAAUGUAAACCUGAAGGAGGAUUUAGCAGUAAGCAGAAAAUAGAGUGUUC